UGUGAAAGUAGUUCCGGGCACCAAACUAAGGGGGGAGAGUCCCGGAUGUUGGCUCGGCUGCCGAGAGAAAGGCGAACGGGAGAAGGCGGAGAAGCCGAGGAGAGGGACGGCGCGGCACUGUAGGCACACCGGGCGAAGAUCUCUGCACAGAGGACAACAACUGUCAGGAGCUCUGGGUUCUCCUGAGCUGGCGGGGAAGGACACCCUGUGUUGGACAAGAGGUGGUGGACGGAGCGGGGAAACAGCUGCUGUUAAACUACCGUGAGGAUUACCAGAGAGAGCCGCCGUCUCUGCUGCUUUCAUCCUGAAAAAACCCUCGCCGAAGCCAAAGAUUCUCUCUGCGGAGUUGAAGGAAAUGUUGAUCUAUGUAGACCAGGGAACCCACACAAGCGAUGACUCUCUCUUGCCACACAAACAUGUCUGUGGAGAAUUCAGAAGAAUGCAUCUUGUUACUCAGAUGAGUCAUACUUCCUCUGGCCUGGAUGCCUCUCCCUCAGGGUGGAUGAAUGAGAGGGCGGAGAGGUUAGCACGAGGAGGGGCUCGCUGGCAGAGACGACGUGGUCUGUCUGUUGCUUAAUGCAAUUAGGACCACAUUGGUGUGUCUSUCGCAGGGUUUCACCCUUUUGCAUCUGACCUGCAUAGAGAAAAGUGUCUGACUGACGGCUUUGAUCAAGCUGAGUCACUACCUGUUUAGAAAUCUGCGGCUCUGGUCUGACCCGAGGUCAGCCGCUCCGCCGAGGCACUGUAGCCCCCGGAGCAGAGCCCGGGGCCCCGGCUCUGCAGGAAAACAACUCUGCACAAAUAAACCCAAAAAAUUACAAUGGA